rnacentral:rRNA from 1 species
GUGAGGGAAAGGCGAAAAGAACCCCGGGAGGGGAGUGAAAUAGAUCCUGAAACCGCAUGCAUACAAACAGUGGGAGCCUCGCAAGGGGUGACCGCGUACCUUUUGUAUAAUGGGUCAGCGACUUACAUUCAGUGGCAAGCUUAACCUUUUUAGGGAAAGCGUAGCGAAAGCGAGUCUUAAUAGGGCGAUCAGUCGCUGGGUGUAGACCCGAAACCAAGUGAUCUACUCAUGGCCAGGAUGAAGGUAGGGUAACACCUGCUGGAGGUCCGAACCCACUACCGUUGAAAAGGUAGGGGAUGAGCUGUGGGUAGGGGUGAAAGGCUAAACAAACUUGGAGAUAGCUGGUUCUCUCCGAAAGCUAUUUAGGUAGCGCCUCGUGAUAUACCUUCGGGGGUAGAGCACUGUUAUGACUAGGGGGCCGUAUAGGUCUACCAAAUCAUUGCAAACUCCGAAUACCGAAGAGUAGUUUCACGGGAGACAGACAUCGGGUGCUAACGUCCGGUGUCAAGAGGGAAACAACCCAGACCGCCGUCUAAGGUCCCAAAGACAUAGUUAAGUGGUGAACGAAGUGGGAAGGCAUAAACAGCCAGGAGGUUGGCUUAGAAGCAGCCACCCUUUAAAGAAAGCGUAAUAGCUCACUGGUCGAGUCGUCCUGCGCGGAAGAUGUAACGGGGCUCAAACUAUGCACCGAAGAUGCGGAUUCAUACGCAAGUAUGAGUGGUAGGAGAGCGUUCUGUAGGCCUGCGAAGGUGACUCGUAAGGGUUGCUGGAGGUAUCAGAAGUGCGAAUGCUGACAUGAGUAGCGAUAAAGCGGGUGAAAGGCCCGCUCGCCGAAAGCCCAAGGUUUCCUGCACCACGUUCAUCGGUGCAGGGUGAGUCGGCCCCUAAGGCAAGGCCGAAAGGCGUAGUCGAUGGGAAAUCGGUUAAUAUUCCGAUACCUCGUUUUGAUGCGAUGGGGAGACGGAGAAGGUUAUGCAAGCCGGGUGUUGGAUGUCCCGGUUCAAGCGUGUAGGUGGAUCCUUUAGGCAAAUCCGGAGGGUCAACACCAAGGCGUGAUGACGAGUGCCCUUGUGGCAUGAAGUUGCAGAUACCACGCUUCCAGGAAAAUCCUCUAAGCUUCAGUCAAGACGGGACCGUACCGCAAACCGACACAGGUGGGCAGGAUGAAAAUUCUAAGGCGCUUGAGAGAACUCGGGUGAAGGAACUCGGCAAAUUUGCACCGUAACUUCGGAAGAAGGUGCGCCCUAAGUAUGUGAAGCCCCUGCGGGUGGAGCAGAACAGGGUUGCAGUGAAUAGGUGGCUGCGACUGUUUAACAAAAACACAGCA